UACGGGGGGAGCAAGCGUUGUUCGGAUUUACUGGGCGUAAAGGGCGCGUAGGCGGCCACCGCAAGUCGACUGUGAAAUCUCCGGGCUUAACCCGGAAAGGUCAGCCGAUACUGCGGGGCUAGAGUGCAGAAGGGGCAACUGGAAUUCUCGGUGUAGCGGUGAAAUGCGUAGAUAUCAGGAGGAACACCGGUGGCGAAGGCGGUUCUCUGGGCCUGUACUGACGCUGAGGAACGAAAGCGUGGGGAGCGAACAGG
rnacentral:rRNA from 1 species